GAGGAUAGAGGCGCAAAAACCAUCAGUACACAAUCAGAGGAUGAUGAGAUCCGACGAAGAUUGAAGAAAGGGGAAUUUGCCGAAGUGGAGAGAUGCUCAUUAUCUCAAAGCUGGUUCUGGGCUGAACAAGUGCAGAAUUGUCAUAUAGGAAACUAUAUGGAGGGCUAUCUGAU
rnacentral:ncRNA from 1 species